GCCAGGCGUGGCAGUGAAUGCCUGUAACUCCUGCUACUGGGUAGGUUAAGGUAGGUGGAUUGCUUGGGUUCAGGAGUUUUGAGUUGUAGUAAAGCUAAAGCCAAUCAGGUGUCAUACACUGAGUCUGACAUCAAUACGGUGAGCUCUUAGGAACAGGGGACCACGAGGUUAACUAAAUUUGGAUAAGUUGACCCAAGAGAGAAAUAAAGAAGUUCCAGAUUUCUGUGUUGAUCACCAGUGGGGUCAGGCCAAUGCAUGGCUACUGUGUUUAAGUCCUAAGCAAGAUAGGGAGAUCAAGUCUUA
rnacentral:SRP_RNA from 1 species